GGGCCCGCACAAGCGGUGGAGCAUGUGGUUUAAUUCGAUGAUACGCGAGGAACCUUACCAGGGCUUAAAUGUAAGUUGCAUUAGAUAGAGAUAUCUAUUUCUUCGGACCACUUACAAGGUGCUGCAUGGUUGUCGUCAGCUCGUGCCGUGAGGUGUCAGGUUAAGUCCUAUAACGAGCGCAACCCCUGUUGUUAGUUGCCAGCGAUUCAAGUCGGGAACUCUAACAAGACUGCCGGUGCAAACCGUGAGGAAGGUGGGGAUGACGUCAAAUCAUCACGGCCCUUACGUCCUGGGCUACACACGUGCUACAAUGGUAGGGACAGAGAGCAGCCACUACGCGAGUAGGAGCGAAUCUAUAAACCCUAUCACAGUUCGGAUUGUACUCUGCAACUCGAGUACAUGAAGGUGGAAUCGCUAGUAA
rnacentral:rRNA from 1 species